AUAAUGACAGUCUUCCCACAGCUGCUCUCACUAUUCUGACCUUUAACUUCUACUGAGCACAUGGGGGUGUAUUAACAACUCUGUGUGACACCUCCGAUUUAACACUGAUGGGAAAAUCUAUGUAAAAUAAGUAACUGAAUGCUUCCAAUGGUAACAGCGUCUGCAUGUGAUUACUUGUUUGGCUGCAUUGGCUGAAGCUUUAGCUGCUUACUCAGCAGACUUGUUGAAUCUGCAAGUGACAUCACCAUGUUUGCGUGUGCAUCAGUGUGGUGGACAGCAGGAAAGACCCGAGAUGUGUAUCAGCUGUACUUCUCAUUGCGGUGUCUCACUUAAGUACAGACAUAGCAUAAAAGGCAGCCUCAGUGCCCCGCCAGGGUCUGUGUCAUUCAAAGCUUCCUCGCCCCAGGGCAAGGCAGACAUGCCCUGCUGUGGGCUCCGUUCACAUUAGGCUGCUAGCUAUGAGGAGCUUGCAGCCACUGUGCCUUGGCUCUUCUGUCGCUGUCCUUGCACCUGUCCUGCAAAUGCUUCCAUGCUCAUCCUUGUCCUCGCCUGGCUGUGAGAACAGCGAACAACAGUUGUAGAAUGGCAUCUGUUUUCUCUCUGUUUUUAACAGUAGUUUCUUAGUCGUAUUCAAUACUGUUGUUUCACCAAGCUAAGUUUUUCCUGGUGGAAAUGCAGUGCUUCAGGCAGAACAUCUUCCUCUAAAAUCUUGGAAAAAAAAACCCAAUCCACUUUGACGCAAGAAUAAAAACGUUUCAAGGCAGAAUAUCUGUUUUAUGUGAAUCCUUGUGGAGAACUCCCAGCGUUAACUAAUGAGCCAAGACUGGAACCAUUAACACGAGCAGGACUUCUGUCAUUUACUUCAGGCUGAGCAGGUUUUGAUAUACGUCAUAAUUACCAUAAUUUUCUUUAACCAUCCAAACAGUGAAAGUGCUGUGCAGCCCACACAGUUAGGUUCUUGUUUUCUGUGAGCAAAGCAGCUCCUGCUUAUUUUAUUGGUAGCUGCAGCUGGGUAGGAAGCAUUUUGAGCAGUUGGACUUCACUAAAACAGAAAAGAACAAUGGAUUUUGGGCCCACAAAGAAUAUUCAGUGUUGGUUUGCUUUUUUUUCCCCCUUCUCUUAGAAGUAAAACCAUUGUAUGUUGUUAU
ensembl:lncRNA